GACGAACGCUGGCGGCGUGCCUAAUACAUGCAAGUAGGACGCAGUUGCGAACGGGUGAGUAACGCGUAGGUAACUAUCUACUAGAGGGGGAUAACUAUUGGAAACGAUAGCUAAUACCGCAUACUAGUAGAUGGACCUGCGUUGUAUUAGUUAGUAUGUUGGGUAAUGGCCUACCUAGGCAACGAUACAUAGCCUACCUGGUGAGGUGAUCUGCCACACUGUGCCUGAGACACGGCCCAGGCUCCUACGGGAGGCAGCAGUAGGGAAUCUUCCGCAAUGGGGGGAACCCUGACCGAGCAACGCCGCGUGAGUGAAGAAGGUUUUCUGAUCGUAAAGCUCUGUUGUUAAGGAAGCGGUACUUAACCAGAAAGGGACGGCUAACUACGUGCCAGCAGCCGCGGUAAUUC
rnacentral:rRNA from 1 species